CGCAUCUGUGCAUGCAGCAUAUCAAUAAGCGGAGGAAAAGAAACUAACAAGGAUUCCCUCAGUAACGGCGAGUGAAGCGGGAAGAGCUCAAAUUUGAAAUCUUGAAAGGUCACCUUUCACGAAUUGUAGUUUAAAGAAGUGUUUUCUGUUACGAUCGUAAUAUAAGUUCUUUGGAAUAGGACAUCACAGAGGGUGAGAAUCCCGUCUAUGAUUGCGAUUUGUAGCUUUGUGAUACACUUUCAAAGAGUCGGGUUGUUUGGGAAUGCAGCCCAAAACGGGAGGUAAAUUUCUUCUAAGGCUAAAUAUUGGCGAGAGACCGAUAGCGAACAAGUACCAGUGAGGGAAAGAUGAAAAGAACUUUGAAAAGAGAGUUAAACAGUACGUGAAAUUGUCAAAAGGGAAGCGUUUGACACCAGUGUUGUUUUCUGAAAAUCAACCUCUGUUAGCUUUAUGCAUGUUUGUUUAGACCUAAUCAGCUAUCUUGCAUGUUCUAUUGUUUGCAGUGGUGCACUUUUCAGUUUACAGGUCAACAUCAGUUUUUUUUACCGUAAAAAAGUUAAAGAAAGGUAGCUCAUGGCUCCGGUCGUGAGUGUUAUAGUCUUUUUCCUAUGCGGUAGGAGAGACUGAGGUCUGCAGUGUAGGCUAUUUGGCUAGAUACUCAGGUGCUAUGUGAUACCAUUUCAUAAACAACUUGUUGAUUAUGUUUUGUCUAUUGCAUACUCGCUUGUACUAUCAUACCUACGCUUAGGAUGUUGACGAUCAGCUGAGCGCG
rnacentral:rRNA from 1 species